rnacentral:rRNA from 1 species
GACGGAAGGUGCAAGCGUUGCUCGGAAUCACUGGGCGUAAAGGGUGCGUAGGCGGCUUGGUAAGUUGGGUGUGAAAGCCCCGGGCUCAGCCCGGGAAGGGCACUCGAAACUGCCGAGCUGGAGUGCCGGAGGGGAGAGUGGAAUUCCUGGUGUAGCGGUGAAAUGCGUAGAUAAUCAGGAGGAAUACCGGUGGCGAAAGCGACUCUCUGGACGGCAACUGACGCUGAGGCACGAAAGCGUGGGGAGCAAACAGG